rnacentral:rRNA from 1 species
CACGGGGGGAGCAAGCGUUGUUCGGAAUUAUUGGGCGUAAAGGGCUCGUAGGCGGUCUGUUGCGUCAGGAGUGAAAACUCGGGGCUUAACCCCGAGCCUGCUUCUGAUACGGGCAGACUAGAGGUAUGCAGGGGAGAACGGAAUUCCUGGUGUAGCGGUGAAAUGCGCAGAUAUCAGGAGGAACACCGGUGGCGAAGGCGGAUCUCUGGGCCUGUUCUGACGCUGAGGCGCGAAAGCUAGGGGAGCGAACAGG